rnacentral:lncRNA from 1 species
UCUUUUCUUGUUUGCUAGAAUGUUCCAAUAAUGAAUUGGAUUAUUAGUUUUACAUAAUGCUACAGUAUGGCUUGAAUAUCUUUUUUAUUUGCUAACCUGCCCGCAAAAUAUAAUUAACUUGUUUUUUUUUUUCAUUUGGAUUGGAAAAAUUAUUUUUUAAACGUAACUUGUUAUCAUUACUUAUUACGGAAUCAAAAAAGUAAUUACAGUUGGACUCAACUUAUAUCUUAAGAGAAUAGAAUAAAAAAUUAUUCGAAUCUUUUAAAUUAUAAAGAUACAAAGAAGAAGUUCAAUAUAGAGAUUUUGAUGGAAUUUAAUUUUUGACGCUAAUACAUAUGAAAAUGCAUAUUGAAAUUACAUAUAUAUAAACAACUCAAAUUACUGUGAAAAACAAUAACAAAAAAUAUCCAUAAUUUUAAUAAUUAACUUUUAACUCUAAUUCUACACCUGGGGUAGAAUAAACCCACUGGUUUUUGGCUUUAAUUUUAAACUUAGUUUUUUGGUUAGCUUUAUAAAUUUUUUUACUGUUUUAAAAUUUAAAUUGUCCCAAAAUAUUUUUUGGACAUUAUUUUUAAAAGUUUGAGGAAUGUGCAAAAAAAUUUUUUUGAAUCAAAAUGAUAAUAUACGAGUAAUAACCAUUUAAAGAUGCUGAAGUGUGUUACAUCCCUUGUGUAGAAUAUCGAAUUAUUUGAUAGUAUGUAGGAUUAGGGUUAAAAACUUUUAGUAUAGAAAGUAACAUUUAAAGAAUUUAAUUUAUUAAUUUGUAGAAGAGUAUAGAAAAUAUAUAACCUAUCAAAAACUUUACAAAAGUAAAAAAGAUAUACCAAAUACAUUAUCGCAUUUAUAAGUAAGUACAUGAUCAAUAAAGACAAGUAUAUUUUAAAAAAAGAAUAAUUUUAUAAAAAUUUUUAAUAAAUUGUAACGAGCCGUUCACCGCUGCCUACGGAGGCACAGCAAGUGUCAGGCCGUUACCCCUACCUCGCGCAGUCUCCUUCGUAUCUCUAUGUUCCCCUCACCACCGAAUAAAGAGUAUGUAAGCUCUUCACCGACGAUAAGAAAUCAGAGCUUUCCGACUAAGUGUAGUGAACUGGUCGUAUUCUGGUGAAUUGAACCGGGCUUCCUAGUGCGCAUACUGAAUGCCAUAAUCUGAAACCCGAUCCUAUCUCGGCACGCAGUGAGUGCUUUCCUGGCCGCAUAUUGAGUGGCAACAUACUGACCCGAUCCGCUCUCGGUCGCGUACUGAGCGGUCAUGCGUCGUCCCGUCCCGGAGACCCCGCACUGAGGAGAAACCGGCAUCGCGAUCUGUCAUCCACGCGGGGUGAUAAGCGAGCGUCGGCCGAAUCAGCUGAUGCGCCGAACAGCUAAGACUAGAGAUCCUCUAGUAAGGAAUAAGACAUCGACUUGCGGAUUAGUUGGUUGCCAUUAGUGGGAUACUUCUUCUGCUCCGCUUAUAACAGUGGGUAGGCAUAACCAAAAUUUUAUAUUAUUUUAUCAUUUUUUACAUUGUUUUGUGAGUAUGCGAUAUUGUACAGCAAAUAAUUGCACCAAUUCGAGCAAAAGUGUGCCACUUUUCAAGAUCUCCAUCACGCAAAAGAAUGGGUGGACAGCAUGCUGGAUGGGUUUUCAAAAAGUAUUAACAUUGUGUGAAGUAAAUAAGAAUUCAUUAUUUGUUAAAUGAUUUAUUAAUUUUUCUAAAUCAACUCUUUAAUCAACGAUUAAAGUUAAUCGGAAUUGGUUGAAGUGACCUUAAAUCUGUUUAAAAAUUCCCGCGCUAUUAACCCAUUGACUUCCGUUAUCUCAUUAAUGGCGGCUUUGUUUUAUCCCUUAUUAGAAGAUCCAUAGUUGAGACCGGGUAAGCGCGCUGCGCCGCCAAUCGCACCGCUUCACACUCCGCUGCGUCGUCAACCAGACUGGCCAUCGCACGCCAUAGUACCGUAAGCACCGGGCCUUAGGGCCACACCGCGUUGCCGCAGGUGGCCCAGAAUUGACUUUUUUGUUUAAAAUGGUCUAGAGACCCCAAUAUGUAACCAAAUAGAACAAAUUUUUUUUUAAAUUACUCGUAAAAAGAUGCUAAAGAAGACUGUCUUUCUAGACCAUUUUGAAUGAGAAAAGUCAAUUCUAGGCCACUGUGCGCCGCCAAUCGGAACGCCGCGCCACCGCCCCGCUAGCAACCAGAGCACUGCAUCGCUGUCGAUUAUUCUGAGCGCACGCGCACACUGCAGCACAGCGACGAACUUCGCCAACAUACGCACAUGGCAAAAGUAUCGCAUUACAUACUGUACAUAUUAUAUUGUACAUAAUACAUUAUAUAGAUCACAUACUGUACAUAUCAGCGUAGGGAAACAUAUAUUAGUGUAGGACUUGUUACUUUAUAAUAAAUAGCAUUUAAACGAAUAUCGCCUUUCUUCUCACUUAUUCGAGCCCGCCGCUUGAAUCCCGCGGCUAUUCGUAGCCAAUAAUCGCACGAAAUUCACAGUUACAUAUUAAAACUUAAUUGAAAAAUAAAAAUGUUACCAAUGAUGACAGAUAGUGAGACAAAAACUUGGCGUGCUCGACUCGCAUAUUUUCUGUAUUUUUAAGACUCUAUGUUAUUAAUAUUGACAAAUGUAUAUAUAAGAAUGCGACGCGGGCACGCCAACUUUUGCUUCAUUAUCUGUUAUCGUUUGUAACAUUUUCAUUUUUCAAAUAUUUGAAUAAAUUUUUGCAGGAUUUUUGUAAGUUUUUUUUAAAAAUACUUAUAUGAUUUUAUUGAUCUUGUACACAUUUUUAAUGCCUUUGUAAUUGGCGUAUCUUUUUUAUCUUUGUAAGGUUUUUGACAGGAUUUUAUCAAAUUUCGAAACGUUUCGACUAUACAUAGUUCUUUUCAGUCGUAACAAAUUACCAAUAUUUAUGAACUUAAACAUGAAUGAAAUAACGCAACAGAAAAUAUAAUUAAAUAGUUAAAAAAUGAUGACAUUGAACAACCAUAAAACAACGCAUAUCGUCUAUAAAAAUGUAUCGUAAUAAAUAAAAACGUGAAUGAAUAAAUAAUACAAUCAAAUAAAUAAUAAAAUUUUUCCGCAAGUCGGUUUUUAUAUUAAAAGGAUAGAAUAGAUAGUCAAAAAGUCUUGCCAAGAAAUCUAAAAUAUCAAAACCGAUGGAAUACGUGUAAUUUAUGAAUAACAUAAACUGAUAUGCGUAUUGUAAAAAAACGAUAAACUUACAUAUGUUGAUUCCAGAUAAUAUUAAAACGAGCAACAAACACGAAGAGUAUUUGAUAAGCGUUAAAACAAGUGUAAGUUCAGUAGUCAGAGGCAGAAUGAGCGAACUUAUUGUUAGUCACUUUCGACAAAAUAUCAAACAAACAAUAAUAUAAAUUGUCGAGAAAUUUGUUUAACAUUUUUUAACGUAAUUAUUUUGUAGUUGCGUUUAUAAUUAUAUAUUUUUUAUUUAAUAAGUAUUGUAUUAGGAUAAUUUGUCUUGGCUCGAUAUACCUGUUUAUCGUAUUAUUUUUAUUUAUUAUAAGUUAUUUGUUUCUUAUUAGUGUUACGUCCGGCAGACUCCUCGAUUUCCCUUUGUCAGAGAAACAAAUAAACAACAACUUACCAAAGAAAUUCCGUUUCAACGGUCUUCGAUAAUUUUUUAUGCGUCUAGGAUUAGUCUGUUAGAAACGUGAUGACAAACAUGGAUGGACGAAACGACCAAGUUGAUAAUUUCGACUUCUUUUAAAUAUUGAGCCAACAAAUAAUAAAUUCUGAACGUAGAAAUACAAAAAAAGGUUUUACGUUUCCUCACAAAAAUGAGCAAUAAAGAAUCCAAACAUUAGGAAAAAAUAAAUAACCGUUUCCUUCAUCUGCAAACUAUACCGUAGCACGUCUAGCACGAUAAAGAAUUAUUUAUCUGUUAAAUCCCAAGGGAAGAUAACCUACGCGAUAGGUCGGAUCUCUUCGAUAAAAUUAAAGGAAUGUGGGAGAAAACCGAAACGGUUCACAACGAGAAAAAAAUUUGUACAUCGGAUUUCAGAAAGGAAGGAUUUCAUCGAAUUUCGUCUGAUUUUAUAGAUUUUAAGGAUUUUAUCGGAUUUUAAAUAAAUUUUAAAGGAAUUCAAGUGGAUUUCAGAGAUUUCAGAGGAAUUCAGAGAAAUUCAAGUGGAUUUCAGAGGCUUUCAAAAGGAUUUUAAGAGAAUUUCGAAAGAAUUUCCGGAAACAAUUAUACAAUACAAAAUAAAGACAAAUUUUACACAAGUUUUUAAAAAUUAAUUUUUAUUUCUGAAUUAAUUUACACAUUAGGAAAAACUGGUUACAAGUAGUAACAAUUAUUAAUUUAUUACAUAGUAAACUGCUAAUAAUUACAUAUUGUAACAAUAGUAUUUAUUUAUGACAUAAACUUCUGAAAAAAAAACAUUGUAACUGACGUUAAAUAGAAACAGCAGAACAAUUAAGUAAAAAUUUACUAAUCAUUUUUUACAAAUACUUUGAAAUUGUAACAAGAGUAGACUAGGAAUCAGUGACUAAGAAUUAGAGGCUAAAGUAAAAUUGCUAAAAGUUUAUUGAUUUUACUUAUAAUAUCACCAUUAAACCUUAAACUACCGUCUACAGAACUAGGACAAGGCAAAGAACAAAUAUAAUUUGACAAAUUAAAAAAGGAAUGUUGCUUUCUGGACGGAAUAAGAACACCAUUUACAGAUAUUUUAAAUCACGUACACAAGCACCCUAUACUUCUGGCAUCGUUUAAAAGAUCCUUUGUUAGUGCAAAGGUAACUGAGUAGUCUGUAACUUUCCCUGCUCUUGUUAAGUAAGAAAAACUUAAGUUCCGUCCAAUUAAAAGUUUGCAAUUAUUGUCAGGAUCCUUAAAGGCACACCAAUCACCUAAUGAACUUUCUUACAGUGACACACGUUAUUGGUUGUUUCUAUAUGACUUUCAGAAUUAAAAUUGUCCUCUUUUUGCUUCACCCUAUGGAUACGAUCAGAAUUAAGUUUAGACUAACCAUCACUUAGGAGCCAACAAAGCGUUGUUUUACGAAGAACAAUUUCUUUUCCAGUGUUGUCGAUAUAAUUUACAAGUGGACUUUGAAGAUUCAACUGUGUUUCUAAUACAAAUAUCUGCUAGCAAUAUGUCUUCUUCUAUGUCUGUUUCUUUACUUGCUGACACAAUGGGAUUUAAAAUAGUUUCAUGCCGAGAGCCCUAGCUUCAGAAAGAGCAAAUGCUUUGGCCUCCUGAACUGGCUUAAUUAUAUCUUUAUCACAGGGGAGUUUACAUACUCGCAAAGUUAAGGAAUUUGGUUGUUUAUUUUUUGGAAAAACGACAUCAGAAGAUAACUCUUGCAUAAGAUGUAACUUUAGUUGGAUUCUCCUUAUUUUAUACAAGAGAUCAAGCAUAUUAAAGUUAACAACUGUGCUAAAAACAGUUGUAAAGGAUUUAAUUGCACGGAAGAACCUUUCACAUGGUUGAGAACUGAAGAGCCAUGGCAGGAAAAGUUCUGGUCUUCUCUCUUUUCGCAGUCUUCGGAUUAGAUAGAGCUACAAGUGCAUAUGCAUUAAGUUCUAUACAUAGAUAAGUAUAUAUAGUUAAGAAAUUUUUACUUGUGCUGUAACUAUUUUCUUGAAGCCAUCGCCUCCAGAUGCGAAGAAAAAAUACACUUUUCCAAAUGGCACUUAUAUGUUAAGGAGUAAGGUUUUUCAGGAGAUACGCAUUAAAAAUGUUUCUCAUAAUUUGUAGAUAUCAUUUUCGUAGCUGCAGCGUUAGGUAUAUUGGACAAUAUAUUUGACACUCUUACUGACAUAAUUUUCUCUGCAGCAUUGAAAUUCAUUUUGUCAUCAGCUUUCAAAUAAGAUUCAACCAAACUGUGUUCUAGCUUGGACUUUUCCUGCAUGAGUAUUCUCAAAUGCGUCGGAGAAACAACAUGGUUACCUAUGGGCAAAACUAUUGAAGAUUUUAGAAAUUUUGUUUUUAAUUUGGUUAUAAUGUGCACGGUGAAUGUACGAAAUAGUUUGAAUAUACGAAAUAGUUUGAUUAAUAUCUUGGACAAAUCAAUCACACCAUUCAAGUGGAUUGUCAACAGUUACGGGGAUGGCAUUUGAUCUCAUUGCACUCAAUAGUCGUGUAUCAGCAUCUGAGGAGAAUCCAAGAAUAUCAAUUCCAUAAACAGAGGCUUCUUCCCUCAUUCAUUUCCACCGUUUCAGAACCACUUCAGAAUCAAAUCUGUUGUUUGUGCCAAAAACACAAACAAAAUGCAGGAGCUGUUGAAAAGAGAGGUUGAGCCAUGAUGACGUAAGCGUAGUUAGAUUUGGGACAUGAAUUAUAAUAAUCUUGAAUAACAUCGCUGAAUGUAGCUUUAUAGUGGAAUGUAAUUAGAAGUCCUGUCAAACAGAUGGGAGGAACAAAACCAACAAUUGUGUUAGAUGACACAUUAUAUCUAAUCCUGCUCAGAAUUCGAGUAUCAUCUUUGCUAAUGAUUACUGCCGGUGGAUACCCACCAUCUUCAAGAUGCUUUUUCAGUUCCUUGAAACGAAGUUUUCCUUCUGUAACUGGCUGAGUAACGGAAUUAAUGACCUUGCUCAAAGUUGAAAUUGAAGGAAGUCCGAGGUUUUUCUGCAAAACUUCAUACAACCAUCUACCGCCUACAAGAAAUACAAGACUAGCAAAUUUAGGAACAAUUUCUUCUUUGUAUCUAAACCCAUGGACAUUUCUUCCUGCAUUUUCUGUUGCUGUUCUAACAAGAGCACUAAGAAUUUUUGAUGGUAUGCUAGAUAAGUGCUCUGUUUGUUUUUGCCCUGCAAACUGUUCUGAUAAAUUUAAUAAAGUUUUCUGAAGUUCUGAAUUUUCUUUUAAUAUCUUUUCAUAAUUAUUUAAGCAGGAAAAAAAUGAUGUAAUGCAAGGAUAAUUUUGCGAUACCCUUUCUAAAGACUGCUUAUUUCUGGCAACACGGGAAUACUGUUUUAAUUUCCACAUAUUUGAACAAGGUCGAAGUUUCACUGCUUUUGAACGAAGAUAUUCUGCUUUUUGAAUACCUCCGGAAGAAUAUAAUUUUUAUUUUUAUCUUGAUUUUUAUUAUCCAAAAAA